GGGGGUGCGGGAGUUUUACGUGGACGGGGAGGGGCGGUUCGAGGCGCGGCUGGACGCGCCGUGCACGGCCAAGUUCGAGAGCGAGGUGCGCUACAACGCCAGCGUGGCGGGCACCAUCUCGCCCGGCCAGAUCGACGGCCUCUCCGGCAUCGCUGCCCAGGACCUCUUCCUCUGGUUCCCCGUCCGCGCCAUCCGCCUCGACGACCAGGCCUCCGGCAUCAUCCACUUCGACGUUGGCGUCGUCGACAAGCGCUUCCCCCUCUCCCUCUUCGAGUACCCGCCCGACUGCACCCCCGUCGCGUCGUCCUCUCGCCCUCUCCGCGAGGGCUC
rnacentral:lncRNA from 1 species